AUUGAACGCUGGCGGCAUGCCUAACACAUGCAAGUCGAACGGUAACAGGCCUUCGGGCGCUGACGAGUGGCGGACGGGUGAGGAAUGCGUAGGAAUCUACCCAGUAGCGGGGGACAACUUAGGGAAACUUAAGCUAAUACCGCAUACGCCCUACGGGGGAAAGCAGGGGAUCUUCGGACCUUGCACUAUUGGAUGAGCCUACGUCGGAUUAGCUAGUUGGUAGGGUAAUGGCCUACCAAGGCGACGAUCCGUAGCUGGUCUGAGAGGACGAUCAGCCACACUGGGACUGAGACACGGCCCAGACUCCUACGGGUGGCAG
rnacentral:rRNA from 1 species